AGGAAUCAAUGCGAGCUCAAGCAUACAAUGGUACAGCAAAUGAAGUACCUGUAGCGCUCUGUCAGAAGCUGCCCUCACACACCCGCACAGGUUCAAGCAUUUGAGGUUCUUGCACUGGCUAGAGAGGAACACAAGAGCCGAAUCACUGAAAUUGGAGCACCCACUGAUGUUGAGCCUUGUAAGGUGAGGGCACCCGUGCGCCAGAGCGUACAAGGACAGGUCGCUGAGCCUAAAGCUUCUGCUAAGAUCCAGCUCGCGUAAAUCAUGGCAGUUGUUCGCCACGGCCUCCACCCCACUGUCUUCUAGCUGAGCUCUGAUUUGGCGUAGAGAUAGAACUU
rnacentral:lncRNA from 1 species